CCUACGGGUGGCAGCAGUGGGGAAUAUUGGACAAUGGGCGAAAGCCUGAUCCAGCCAUGCCGCGUGUGUGAAGAAGGCCUUCGGGUUGUAAAGCACUUUCAGUGGGGAAGAAAGCCUUGGGGCUAAUACCCUCGAGGAAGGACAUCACCCACAGAAGAAGCACCGGCUAACUCCGUGCCAGCAGCCGCGGUAAUACGGAGGGUGCGAGCGUUAAUCGGAAUUACUGGGCGUAAAGCGCGCGUAGGCGGUCUGAUAAGCCGGUUGUGAAAGCCCCGGGCUCAACCUGGGAACGGCAUCCGGAACUGUCAGGCUAGAGUGCAGGAGAGGAAGGUAGAAUUCCCGGUGUAGCGGUGAAAUGCGUAGAGAUCGGGAGGAAUACCAGUGGCGAAGGCGGCCUUCUGAACUGACACUGACGCUGAGGUGCGAAAGCGUGGGUAGCAAACAGGAUUAGAUACCCCUGUAGUC
rnacentral:rRNA from 1 species